GGGAAAACUCAAUCCAUUAAAAGAAGAUAGAGGGGGAGAAACAUCAUAAGAUCCAACUAUAAUAGCAAAGCUCGUGAUACAUCAAGAUCGUGCCAUAUCAAGAACAUGAGAGAGAGAGAGAGAGAGAUCGAACACAUAGCUACUGGUACAUACCCUCAGCCCCGAGGGUGAACUACUCCCUCCUCGUCAUGAAGAGCGCCGGGAUGAUGAAGAUGGCCACUGGUGAUGAUUCCCCCCUCCGGCAGGGUGCCGGAACAGGGUCACGAUUGAUUUUUGGUGGCUACGGAGGCUUGCGGCGGCGGAACUCCCGAUCUAGGUUUCUUUUCGGGGCUUUCUGUAUUUAUAGAAAGUUUUGGCAUCGGUCUCACAUCAGGGGGGGUCUCCGAGUCAUCCACGAGGUAGGGGGCGCGCCCAAGGUGGUAGGGCGCGCCCUCCACCCUCGUGGGUGGCUCGGGACUCUUCUGGCCCAACUAUUUUACUCCGGGGCUUCUUUUGCUCCAUAAAAAAUCAUCAAAAAUUGGCACGUCAAUUGGACUCCGUUUGGUAUUCCUUUUCUGUGAAACUCAAAAAUAAGGAAAAAACAGAAACUGGCACUGGGCUCUAGGUUAAUAGGUUAGUCCCAAAAAUCAUAUAAAAUAGCAUAUAAAACAUCCAAGAUGGACAAUAUAAUAGCAUGAAACAAUCAAAAAAUAUAGAUACGUUGGAGACGUAUCAUGCCGCCGCGGCUGGUGCCCCUGCAACCGCAAGCCCACGCCGGUUUUUUAUUCCCCACUUCGGCACUUUGCUAUGCUUAUUUCCGAUUUGAGGUACUCCCGCUAUCCUAAUUGCUAUCCAUUCCAGUACAGUACAUAUGUAGCUUACCAGUUUGCCCCCCUUUGUUGGCUGGGUUAUGGAUGAAUGUAUUAAGACUUUGUUGUGUUUUGGUGUGUGUCACCCAGCUUGGCUCUGAAAAAACAUCUCCAUCAGGGGGUGUGACAGAGGGCUGGAGGGGGCGCAUGCUAGUUGCAUCAUUUAUGUUUUUAGUCCUGUAGUCCGUACUUGAUAUGAUGUGGUUUUCUCUAAUGAAAAUUGGAAGGGGAGAACCCUUCUUUUAUAAGAAAAAUGUAGCUACAGUUUACCGGUAGGAAAGCAUGUUUUAACAAGUUUAGGAUUAAUUUUCCAAAUGCAAAGCAAAGAGGGUGAAGAGCAGCAUAGUAGGGUAAUACAGGUUCACAUAGAUGUAAUACUCUGUCACUAUCAGCUAGCUCAAGUAUGCAUGACUGUAGGAUAAUGCAGGUUCACAUAGAUGUAUAGUUAUCUGUCACCAUCAGCUAGCUCUAAUUGCAUUUUUUUGGAGCAGUUUCAUUUGCAAAUUGACCAGCUACACGGGCACACACAUACGCACACACGCACCCUAAUUGGGAUAUCAUAUUACAAUGGUAACAAAUAUAUUAGUAUUUCUUGCAUGCUGGCAGCUUAAGCAAGCACCCUGCGCUAUUAAUUUCAGCUAGAUGCAGUAAUCUGUCACAAUGGAUGUUUCCAUAUGGCUUAUUUAUCUUACAUGCUGGCUUAAGUAAGCACCCUGCACUAUUAACUUCAUGUAGAUGUAGUAAUCUGUCACUAUCAGCUAGCUCUAAUUGGUAUUGACUGGUUGCUUUGUGUGUCAGUUGCUUGAUUUGAGUGGUAUUCUCAUGGUUUUCUUCUGCGGUAUUGUAAUGUCGCAUUAUAUGUGGCACAACGCAAUAGCGAGUUCCAGGGUCACAACCAAGUAUGUAUCUGCAUUGUCUGUAUCAGAAAUACGUGUGACUCCAUCAUUUGAGAUCUGAACUUCGCUUAUGCUUAUGUCAUUCGACACACACCAGGAAUGCCUUCGCCACGUUGUCAUUCAUCUCUGAGACGUUUCUCUUUAUCUAUGUUGGCAUUGAUGCAUUGGAAUAGAGAAGUGGAAGAUUGAUAGUGAAACAUGUAUGCAUGCUCUCUAUCUGCUUCUUUCCAUGUUUGUAGUAACAUAUUUGUUGUUCAAAUCCACAGAUAGUUUUGUUUUAUAACGCAUUUUCUGUACUAUGCAGCCCAAUGAAAUCUAUUUUGGUGGUAUUUUGGCGUUGGUGCUGGUUGCAAGAGCUGCAUUUGUUUUCCCACUAUCUUAUCUCUCCAAUUUGACCAAAAGAACUCCAGGCGAGAAGAUCUCUUAGGCAGCAAGUGUGUGUCUUAUUUAGAAAUUUCUUAUGUGUGUUAUGUCCUUUCAAGACUAUACUCUUUUUACUUACAUGAUGUGGGUUCUUCAGAUUAUUAUUGGUGGGUCUCAUGAGAGGUGCCGUGUCAAUUGCAUUGGCCUACAAUAAGGUAAAGUAUUGUGUUUGAUCUAUUCCAUAUGUGCUUUGGGUGUAGUACACGAUGUUUUCUAGUCUUGGUCUGUUAUCAUACUUAAGGACGAGUUUAGGUAGUGGCCGGCUGCUCGCUGGCCUUCCCGAGCGGCCGGCCUAAAAUAGAAAUUUUUUGUCCUAAUCUAUACUUCCAACUUUAUUGGAGGGUCAAACUAUCUCAAAAUUUAACUAAAUUUGUGUAAAAAUAUAUCAAUGUUUGUGAAAUCAAAUAGGUAUAUGAUGAAAGUAUAUUUUAUCACGAAUCUAAUGCUACUAAUUUGAUGGCAUAAAUUUUGAUGUAUUAUUAUAUAAACACGGUCAAACAUAAAAAAGUUUGACUUUCUAAGAAAGUUGGAAGUACACUCUUUAAAGAAUGAAGGGAGUAAAGGGUAAUAAGUUGUCCCUUUUAAUUAAUAUAAAAAAACAAUUUUAAUCCAUAUAUUUGAAAAGGUACAUGUAACAGUAAAGUAUUACGAAAACACCCAUGUAAACACGUGUGAACAUAUUUAAUUUGAGUUUUCAAAAUUUUAAAAGUUAUAACUUUUAAACCGCGCAUAGGAAUUAAGAUCCGUUUUCACCGUUGGAACCCUGGCGGCGUGCUCUUCGAAACUAAAUCUCACAUGGGUAUGUUUUGACAAACUUUUUGUGUGCAAUUUAGUCUCCAUUUGGUGCAACUGUUUAGUCGUCGAUGUGCAAUUAGCUGACAGUCGAUGUGCAACUUUUUUCUGUAAAUGUGGACAUGCAGUUUUCACUAAUGGCACCAUCCCAUACUACUCUCUAACAGUGAAAUGUGCAAUUUCGUCUGUUGUCUCGGUGCCUUGGCCAACUACCAGGUAGUCGCCGGGCGUGAGUAUUACAAAAGCACAUGUGCGACUAAGCCGAUGAGAUUGUGCAACUCCGCGGCCAGGCGCGAGCACUCCCACAACAAUUCGUGUGCGACUAUGCGGACGAGAUUGUGCGACUAUGUGGCUAUGCAUAUGCGACUAUGCCAACGAGUGUGCAACUCCGCGGCCGGGCGUGAGCACCUCCCACAGCAAUUCAUGUGCGACUAUGCGGACGAGAUUGUGCGACUCUGUGGCCAUGCAUGUGCGACUAUGACGACGUGAGUGUGCAACUCUGCGGCCAGGCGUGAGCACCUCCCACAACAAUUCGUGUGCAUCUAUCCAGGCGAGAUUGUGCAACUCUGUGACCAUGCAUGUGCGACUAUGCUGAC
rnacentral:rRNA from 1 species